rnacentral:rRNA from 1 species
AUUGAACGCUGGCGGCAGGCCUAACACAUGCAAGUCGAGCGGGGUUUUCGGACCUAGCGGCGGACGGGUGAGUAAUGCGUAGGAAGCUGCCCGAUAGAGGGGGAUACCAGUUGGAAACGACUGUUAAUACCGCAUAAUGUCUACGGACCAAAGUGUGGGACCUUCGGGCCACAUGCUAUCGGAUGCGCCUACGUGGGAUUAGCUAGUUGGUGAGGUAAUGGCUCACCAAGGCGACGAUCUCUAGCUGGUUUGAGAGGAUGAUCAGCCACACUGGAACUGAGACACGGUCCAGACUCCUACGGGAGGCAGCAGUGGGGAAUAUUGGACAAUGGGCGCAAGCCUGAUCCAGCCAUGCCGCGUGUGUGAAGAAGGCCUUCGGGUUGUAAAGCACUUUCAGCGAGGAGGAAGGGGUUGUAGUUAAUAGCUGCAACCUUUGACGUUACUCGCAGAAGAAGCACCGGCUAACUCUGUGCCAGCAGCCGCCGUAAGAC